CUUUUCCCUUGGACAGGUUUUGAUAAAUCUCCCCCAAUAUCUUUCUGGUAGAUUAGGAAUCCAUGUAUUGUUAGUCUUCGACUCCCUAAUGUUGGACUCUCUUCUUAAAACAGGGUAAAGAUAUUUCCUUCCAGACAUGUUUGUGGAAAGCAUUUUACAUCUGAGAAUUGUUCCUCACUGACUUGAAAGGCAAAGCGAUGGUCUUGUCAGCGCUUGAAAGCGAGCGGAGUGUCCAAGGAAUUGGGUUGGCAGUUUGAAAUCUAAUCCCAGUGAGUUUCUUAUCUGAUGAAGGCCAAUGUUUGACCGAAACAUUCUCUUUAACUUUGGAUUGCAUAUGAAAUAAAUCUCAC